AUACAGUACAGUAUGUUUGAAUAUGAAUGAAAAAAAACAAAAACACAAGAUGAUAUUAAAGUGAAUCAGUUAUGCCUCGUCAUAAGGGACUUAAUAACUUAAAGUUCCUGUGAGAAACUUUCAGUUUGUGUUGAUUUUGGCGCCCCUUGUGGACAGAGCAGUAUGUCUAAUCUCUAUGUUGAUAUUGUCCUGUACACAUGAGUUCAAAUUUCUCACUCAUUCUGUACAUUUUCUGUAGAUAAUAUAAAACAAUGCUUUUUCUUCAGCGUGCUGUCAAUUUUCCUGUCUGACAUCUACCCUGUGUCAGCAGUUUCAGGCAUUAAAAGUUACAAUAUAAGAAAAAUAA